rnacentral:rRNA from 1 species
GACGAACGCUGGCGGCGUGCUUAACACAUGCAAGUCGAACGAAGUGGCGAACGGGUGAGUAACGCGUAAUCAACCUGCCCUUCAGAGGGUGACAACAGUAGGAAACGACUGCUAAUACCGCAUACUGAAGAAGGGGAUGCCGUCGGAUUAGCUAGUUGGAGGGGUAACGGCCCACCAAGGCGAUGAACAGUAGCCGGUCUGGGGGGAUGAACGGCCACAAUGGGACUGAGGCACGGCCCAGACUCCUGCGGGAGGCAGCAGUGGGGAAUCUUCCGCAAUGGACGGAAGUCUGACGAGGCAACGCCGGGUGAAUGAUGACGGCCUUCGGGUUGUAAAGCUCUGUUAAUCGGGACGCGGUACCGAAAUAGAAAGCCACGGCUAACUACGUGCCAGCAGCCGCGGUAAUUC